GAUGAACGCUGGCGGCGUGCUUAACACAUGCAAGUCGAACGAUGAAGCCCAGCUUGCUGGGUGGUUUCGUGGCGAACGGGUGAGUAACACGUGAGUAACCUGCCCUUAACUCUGGGAUAAGCCUGGGCAACUGGGUCUAAUACCGGAUAGGAGCGUCCACCGCAUGGUGGGUGUUGGAAAGAUUUAUCGGUUUUGGAUGGCCUCGCGGCCUAUCAGCUUGUUGGUGAGGUAAUGGCUCACCAAGGCGACGACGGGUAGCCGGCCUGAGAGGGUGACCGGCCACACUGGGACUGAGACACGGCCCAGACGCCUACGGGAGGCAGCAGUGGGGAAUAUGGCACAAUGGGCGCAAGCCUGAGGCAGCGACGCCGCGUGAGGGAUGACGGCCUUCGGGUGGUAAACCUCUUUCAGUAGGGAAGAAGCGAAAGUGACGGUACCUGCAGAAGAAGCACCGGCUAACUACGUG
rnacentral:rRNA from 1 species